UGGGGGAUAUUGCACAAUGGGGGAAACCCUGAUGCAGCGACGCCGCGUGGAGGAAGAAGGUUUUCGGAUUGUAAACUCCUGUCGUUAGGGACGAAUAUUUGACGGUACCUAACAAGAAAGCACCGGCUAACUACGUGCCAGCAGCCGCGGUAAAACGUAGGGUGCAAGCGUUGUCCGGAAUUACUGGGUGUAAAGGGAGCGCAGGCGGACCGGCAAGUUGGGAGUGAAAUCUAUGGGCUCAACCCAUAAAUUGCUUUCAAAACUGCUGGCCUUGAGUAGUGCAGAGGUAGGUGGAAUUCCCGGUGUAGCGGUGGAAUGCGUAGAUAUCGGGAGGAACACCAGUGGCGAAGGCGACCUACUGGGCACCAACUGACGCUGAGGCUCGAAAGCAUGGGUAGCAAACAG
rnacentral:rRNA from 1 species